ensembl:misc_RNA 7SK 7SK RNA
GGGUGUUAUGUCUCAGCACUGAAGGAAAAGUAGCUAAGAGACUCCCUUCCUGCCCAUGUGAGUCCUUCCCGAAGGUACACACUUGGUCAAAGAAGGCGACUGACCACCACCAUCACCACCCUUCAUAGAGAACGACUGUUUCCUCAGCCAAGGAUAUAUGAGUAGCCACACUCCCUUGCUCGAAUCUCCAAGCUCUCCCAAAGCAGCAGGCCAUGUUAUUAAGUGAAAGAUCAUGUGGAUGCUCAACACAGAGUUGUGCCUGGGAUG